AGCAGUGUAGCUAAGUGGAAAGAACCUGGGCCUGGGACCCAGAGACCUGGGUUCUAAUCCCAGCUCCACUA
rnacentral:tRNA from 1 species